rnacentral:rRNA from 1 species
CCUACGGGUGGCAGCAGUCGGGAAUAUUGCGCAAUGGAGGAAACUCUGACGCAGUGACGCCGCGUAUUGGAAGAAGUUUUUCGGAAUGUAAACUAUUGUCGUUAGGGAAGAGAAAGGACAGUAUCUAAGGAGGAAGCUUCGGCUAACUACGUGCCAGCAGCCGCGGUAAGACGGAGGGAGCGAGCGUUAUCCGGAAUUAUUGGGCGUAAAGGGUGCGGAGACGGGAUAACCAGUUAGUUGUGAAAUCCCCCGGCUUAACUGAGGAACUGCAGCGAAAACUAUUUGUAUUGAGUGCAGGAGAGGUGAGUAGAAUUCCUGGUGUAGCGGUGAAAUGCGUAGAGAUUAGGAGGAACACCAGUGGCGAAGGCGACUUACUGGACUGUAACUGACGUUGAGGCACGAAAGUGUGGGGAGCAAACAGGAUUAGAUACCCCGGUAGUC